rnacentral:rRNA from 1 species
AGAUGGCGACCGGCGCACGGGUGAGUAACACGUAUCCAACCUGCCGAUAACUCGGGGAUAGCCUUUCGAAAGGAAGAUUAAUACCCGAUGGCAUAAUUAGACCGCAUGGUCUUAUUAUUAAAGAAUUUCGGUUAUCGAUGGGGAUGCGUUCCAUUAGGCAGUUGGUGAGGUAACGGCUCACCAAACCUUCGAUGGGUAGGGGUUCUGAGAGGAAGGUCCCCCACAUUGGAACUGAGACACGGUCCAA